rnacentral:ncRNA from 1 species
GUUUAGUUUGACUCUAGUUCGAUUUUGCGAAAUGACUUGAGAGGAAUAGUAUAAGUGGGAGACGAAAGGCAAAAGUAAAAUGCCACUACGUUUAUUGUUACUUAACUUAUUUUGUGAGUCGGAAGCGGAGCACUACCCCUCUUUUUGGACCCAUGACUUUCUUUGCAGGCCCAUCCGAGAGGAUGAUAUUAUCACGGGAGUUUGGCUUGAAUAACAUGUAUGUUAAAAAUUAACGCAUGUGUCCUAAAAUGAUCUUAAAAAAACAAAAACCUUGUAUUAGAGAAAAAUAGCAUGCGUUUAUAGCAAAAUGUUGAGUGAACAUGUGGCACACAUGGUAAGGAAAUAGUAUUCGUGAAGGCUCUUUUGACAGAAUGUUCAUUCCAAGGAUGUGAACGGAAAGCUCAAC